AACGAACGCUGGCGGCAUGCCUAACACAUGCAAGUCGAACGAGACCUUCGGGUCUAGUGGCGCACGGGUGCGUAACGCGUGGGAAUCUGCCCUUGGGUUCGGAAUAACAGUUAGAAAUGACUGCUAAUACCGGAUGAUGUCUUCGGACCAAAGAUUUAUCGCCCAGGGAUGAGCCCGCGUAGGAUUAGCUAGUUGGUGAGGUAAAGGCUCACCAAGGCGACGAUCCUUAGCUGGUCUGAGAGGAUGAUCAGCCACACUGGGACUGAGACACGGCCCAGACUCCUACGGGAGGCAGCAGUGGGGAAUAUUGGACGAUGGGCGAAAGCCUGAUCCAGCAAUGCCGCGUGAGUGAUGAAGGCCUUAGGGUUGUAAAGCUCUUUUACCCGGGAUGAUAAUGACAGUACCGGGAGAAUAAGCCCCGGCUAACUCCGUGCCAGCAGCCGCAGUAA
rnacentral:rRNA from 1 species